UAGGGUUCAAAAACUUUUACCACAUCAGUCAGGACAUCCCAUCUCAUCCGGGUCCGUCUCCAAAGGUGGACAUAAAGAACGGGAAACCAUCUUAAAUCACACCGCUCGUCUAAUGACUACUGAGCUCCUGCAUAUUUCAACAUUCAUUCAUUAGAGGCGGGGAUUGGGCGAGAUCAGCGGCGGGCGAAUCGUGGCACUCUGAUUGAGGCCGUUAUGUUUUAUAGGAGCCAUUUUUCAACGCCGCCUCUGACAGCACUUGAGUUGACUGACUCUAAUCCACUCCAGUAAGCGGAGCCAACACGCGGAUCACAGGCGGCCCCCUCAUCGUCUCUCCUCCCCGGGGAGGCCUUUGUGGAGCUAGGGGCUGAGCUUCAGGCGACUCCAGUGUUACAACACUCUUUAUCCCCCCGCCGUUAUCUGUGACUAUCUCGCUCUGUGUCCCCACUAUAGAGGGAGGAAUGUGGAGAAGGAGAGAGAGGAGAGGAAGGAGGGAUGGACUGCAUGUGGGUGUGAGGGGGACAGAGGAUGAAAGAGACGGAAACAGAAAGGGAGAGAUGGAGGGAAACGGUGAUAUCUACGAUAAAUAGAGGAGAAGAAGGUGUGAAUAAAGAGGGGUAGAAAUAAAGAGGGGGAUAGAGGAACAGUGUUUGUAUAAAGGAAUGAUGAGAGUUAAAAAAAGAGAGGACUAAUUUGAGCGAGAGUGAGUCUCACACACAGUAAAUGGAAAGAAAAAGGGAAAGAACCAGAUAAAGGAGGAGGAAGGAAAGCAAAAAUGAAAGUUUUAGUCAGCCAAAGAGAGGAAGAGAGAGACAGUGAGAGAGGCUCUUGAGGGCUAAAUGAAGCCUGAUUCCCCAGAUAUUUGGACCCCCCUCGGGAGCGUACAGUGGUUGCCUGGCACUGAUGAUUGGAGAUAGGCUCCUGAGGGAACAACACAACAGAAUAAGCUGGGAACAGACAAGCGUCUCGCUCCUGUUUGAUUGACGCUUAUUCCGUCAACAUAUCCAGUUCACCAUCGCUCGAACACAUUCCCUUUAAGCGGCACAGUCGGUGUUGUACUGAAUCCCGG
rnacentral:lncRNA from 1 species